AGUGAACGCUGGCGGUAGGCCUAACACAUGCAAGUCGAACGGCAGCACAGGAGAGCUUGCUCUCUGGGUGGCGAGUGGCGGACGGGUGAGGAAUACAUCGGAAUCUACUCUGUCGUGGGGGAUAACGUAGGGAAACUUACGCUAAUACCGCAUACGACCUACGGGUGAAAGCAGGGGACCUUCGGGCCUUGCGCGAUUGAAUGAGCCGAUGUCGGAUUAGCUAGUUGGCGGGGGAAAGGCUCACCAAGGCGACGAUCCGUAGCUGGUCUGAGAAGAUGAUCAGCGACACUGGAGCUGGGAGACGGUCCAGACUCCUACGGGAGGUAGCAGGGGGGAAGAUUGGACAAUGGGCGCAAGCCUGAUCCAGCCAUACCGCGUGGGUGAAGAAGGCCUUCGGGUUGUAAAGCCCUUUUGUUGGGAAAGAAAUCCAGCUGGCUAAUACCCGGUUGGGAUGACGGUACCCAAAGAAUAAGCACCGGCUAACUUCGUGCCAGCAGCCGCGGUAA
rnacentral:rRNA from 1 species